UACGUAGGGGGCGAGCGUUGUCCGGAAUGAUUGGGCGUAAAGGGCGCGUAGGCGGCUUGUUAAGUCUGGAGUGGAAGUCCUCUUUUCAAGGGAGGAAUUGCUUUGGAAACUGGCGGGCUUGAGUGCAGGAGAGGUUAUCGGAAUUCCCGGUGUAGCGGUGAAAUGCGUAGAGAUCGGGAGGAACACCAGUGGCGAAGGCGGGUAACUGGACUGCAACUGACGCUGAGGCGCGAAAGUGUGGGGAGCAAACAGG
rnacentral:rRNA from 1 species